rnacentral:rRNA from 1 species
CAGUCGCCGCGGGAAUACGUAGGGUGCGAGCGUUAAUCGGAAUUACUGGGCGUAAAGCGUGCGCAGGCGGUUGUGUAAGACAGGUGUGAAAUCCCCGGGUUUAACCUGGGAACUGCGCUUGUGACUGCACAGCUAGAGUAUGGCAGAGGGGGGUGGAAUUCCACGUGUAGCAGUGAAAUGCGUAGAGAUGUGGAGGAACACCGAUGGCGAAGGCAGCCCCCUGGGCCAAUACUGACGCUCAUGCACGAAAGCGUGGGGAGCAAACAGGAUUAGAUACCCGGGUAGUCCCUGUCUCUUAUAC